GUAGGUGGCAAGCGUUGUCCGGAAUUAUUGGGCGUAAAGCGCGCGCAGGCGGUUCUUUAAGUCUGAUGUGAAAGCCCACGGGCUCAACCGUGGAGGGUCAUAGGAAACUGGAGAACUUGAGUACAGAAGAGGAAAGCGGAAUUCCACGUGUAGCGGUGAAAUGCGUAGAGAUGUGGAGGAACACCAGUGGCGAAGGCGGCUUUCUGGUCUGUAACUGACGCUGAGGCGCGAAAGCGUGGGGAGCAAACAGGAUUAGAUACCCUGGUAGUCCACGCCGUAAACGAUGAGUGCUAAGUGUUAGGGGGUUUCCGCCCCUUAGUGCUGCAGCUAACGCAUUAAGCACUCCGCCUGGGGAGUACGGCCGCAAAGGCUG
rnacentral:rRNA from 1 species